AUCAAGCAUGGGAUUGUGUUCUGUGGUUUUCAAAGAGGUUCCUAGAGGGUUUGAGUUGGAUAGACUGAAAACAAACCUAUUCACCUAUGAUGGAUAUAACCAGACUCCAGAGUCUGGCCUGGGAAAACUGAACAUGUCCUAUGGAACCCAAGAGAGUUGAACUCCUCAUUUAAAACAUGCAUAAUGUUAUAGUCUGGCCCCAAAUCCAGCCGUGCUGAGAACUGUGAAAAGGAUUUUACAUACCACCAAAUUGCCUGCCCGAAAACAAGGCACCCAGGAUAUCCAGGUGUGUGCCAUGGGGCAUCGGGGAGAUAAAGGAUGUAUAUGUGCCUGGGACAACAGCCUCAACUGCUCCCUCAGCUUUGAGCGACAGCUAGCCAGCUUGAGGACUAUAAGCCCUGCCGACUGUGUGGAGAGGGGAAGGAAAUA